UUUAAUAUGGCAGACUAGUGCAAUAGAUUUAAAUUCUAUUUAUAAAAUUAAUAAUUUUUAUUAAAA
rnacentral:tRNA from 1 species